rnacentral:lncRNA from 1 species
GACAAGAUAAUAGCUACUAUUAAAAUAGAUAACUUCUUACUUAAAAAUUUUGUUUAGCUAAAAAGUUUAUAAAAAUUUUAGUCAAAGUCAACAAUUAAUUAUAAUCACACAUAAUAGUGACUCACAACAUUUAUCAGCUUUUUUCAACCAAACAUUUUAUCAACUUUUACCACAGCAUGCUGAAAAUCUUAAGCAAAACCAAAUACGAUUUAAUAUGUUCAGAAAAAAAUUUACUUUAAAGUAGCCUUUAUCUACUUUUUAGCUAGACGAAAUCUACCCUUAAUUAUUUUGCCUCUUAAUUCUUUCUUGUAUAAUUGUUAAAUGGUGUGCGAUCACUUCUUCAUCAACUUUUAUCAAAAUCUAUUAAAAAAUUAAUUUUCAACAAAAUCAAAUGUGUUUAAUAUGUUUAGAUAAAAAAGUUAUUUAAAAGUAACAUUUACCUAAAUUUUAGCUAGACAGGUAAAUAUUUAACUAAUUUUUAAUAUUUUGUCUCAUAAUUCUUUCUUCUACAAUUGUUAAAUGGUGUAACAUCACUUCCUUCGUGGUUUAGACACUUUAUGCUUACAGAAUCACUUUAUCACAUAUAUGUUCUAUUGACAUAUUUGAUUUAUUGGAUCUGAAAAUAAUAAAAAGAUCAAAGAAUAAAAAAAAAAAGUAAUAUCUGCCAUGCCAUGAUAUCCAGUAUAGUGAAUACCAAACGUGUUGCAUAGUUCUUCAUGCUUUUCAAUUUUUUGAUAUCAAGAAUUUUGGGAUCAUUUUUCACAUAGUUGACAUACAAUGUCAAGAAAUAAAAACACAUCAAAUUGGGAAAGGUAUGAUCAUUGAUUAAAAAAACUUACUAGGCAUGUAGAUUUGAUGAUUGUGCCAGGAUCAUAAUCUUGAAGGUUUGUGCCCUCAAUAGCUGAAAGGAUCACGUCCAUAAAAUCCUGCUUACUACCAGAAUUUGCCUUUUGCUUGUGCUCUUCCAACCAUUUCUCAACAAUUUUAUCCAUUUCUUUUCCAGUUUCUUUCAUUUUUUUCUCAUAUCCACCUAUAUCCAACCAUCUAAGGUAAGGGAUAUUAUCAGCCACAAUAAAAAUUCCAGUUAAAUGAAAGAAAUCCCUCAACACUUUCUGGCACUGCCUUGCCUCUAUUUUAUCCCCAUCAACAGUUGCACCAAAAUAUCUCUUCCCUGCAACCAUUCUGAGAAUAACAUUCAAAUUCAAGUCCCCGAACCACUGCUUCAUUUCCACCAAAACCCGACCCGACCCAUCUUUCUUCUCGUUCCAGUACUUGUAAAGCUCUUGUAUGGAUACCUAUUAAAGACAGGAUUUAAACGGAUACAAUUUCGCAUUUAUCUAAUUGCUUUUAGAUGAUUUUGUUAAAUAGUAGACAAAAUACUAUAGUUUAAGUUUCACUACCUCGAAUUUAUAAAAAUUAUGCACAUAUCAUACCUUUGAUCAUUGAUAAUAAUCCAGUCUCGAGAUGAAUGGCAUGUUGGAGACGCAAUUGAAAUAAAUACAUGUGGUCAUUCUCUAUGAUCUUAAGCUUUAAAAUAAGUUGGUUGACAAUACCUCAGUUUCGUAAACACGUAUGUGUUGAAGGAGACCCAGUCUGCGGGGAGAGAAUAAUUCCACGGCUAUUAGUUUUCGUAGUUCACGCCAAUAGGUGCCAUAAGGGGAGAAUCCAAACAUGGCGAAGUCAUAGCCUAUGUGCUUGGCUGCAAGAAAUUUUGGACGUGAAGAUAUAAUCACAUCCCAGGUGGUGAACAAUUCUUUAGCCAAUUCCCAGUUGUUCACCACUAGAGCUUUGUGUACUCCGAGCCGGAUUGUAAAGACUGGUCCAUACUUGUCCGCCAUUGCCGCCAGGGUGAUGUGUGGAAGACGUGAACCGCCGCCUAUGAGGUGGAGGUGGCCUAUAAUUGGCCAUGCGCCACCAGCUUCCGGCGGUGAACUGUUUUUGCUAGCUUUAGACCUAGAUUUCCAAUAAAAAAUCAAAAGUAGCGCAAAUAUUGCAGCUAUGGAAGAAUUGAGAUGUGAGACCGAGAAUUCCAUGGUUGUCUUGACCAAAGAUGGGUUUCCUAGUUAAUUUGUUACUGUGACCUGGGGGCUCAUAUAUAAGCAAGCAAGCAUGCUCGGCUAAGCAUAAAAAGUUUGCUUAUAAAUAAGUAAGUUAUGAAUAAACUAUUUUUUAAUAAUAAAAGUUGAAAAAUAGUAAAUUACUUAUUUUGAGAGUGGUAAUUGUUACUUUUAAAAUAAUAAAUUUUUAUUACUUAAAAGGAAAUACUAAAUUAUCCAUACACGUUUGAAAAAAAUACAUUUUUAUAUACUUAAAACAGUCUUAAAAAUAUUACGGUGCAUUUGAUUUGCGUUUCUGUUUUUUGUUUUAAUGGAUAAUUUUAAGAUUGCAUAAAACGAGUUGGUUUGUUAUUCUAAAAAACUACUUACAAAAAAUAUAUGUACAUAUUAAAAAAAAAAAGAAACAAAAGAAAAAGAUAGAGGAAUCAUUGUAAGAUUGAGUUUUGCCUCUUAAUUCUUUCUUGUAUAAUUGUUAAAUGGUGUGCGAUCACUUCUUCAUCAACUUUUAUCAAAAUCUAUUAAAAAAUUAAUUUUCAACAAAAUCAAAUGUGUUUAAUAUGUUUAGAUAAAAAAGUUAUUUAAAAGUAACGUUUACCUAAAUUUUAGCUAGACAGGUAAAUAUUUAACUAAUUUUUAAUAUUUUGUCUCAUAAUUCUUUCUUCUACAAUUGUUAAAUGGUGUAACAUCACUUCCUUCGUGGUUUAGACACUUUAUGCUUACAGAAUCACUUUAUCACAUAUAUGUUCUAUUGACAUAUUUGAUUUAUUGGAUCUGAAAAUAAUAAAAAGAUCAAAGAAUAAAAAAAAAAAGUAAUAUCUGCCAUGCCAUGAUAUCCAGUAUAGUGAAUACCAAACGUGUUGCAUAGUUCUUCAUGCUUUUCAAUUUUUUGAUAUCAAGAAUUUUGGGAUCAUUUUUCACAUAGUUGACAUACAAUGUCAAGAAAUAAAAACACAUCAAAUAGGGAAAGGUAUGAUCAUUGAUUAAAAAAACUUACUAGGCAUGUAGAUUUGAUGAUUGUGCCAGGAUCAUAAUCUUGAAGGUUUGUGCCCUCAAUAGCUGAAAGGAUCACGUCCAUAAAAUCCUGCUUACUACCAGAAUUUGCCUUUUGCUUGUGCUCUUCCAACCAUUUCUCAACAAUU